CUCGGCCUGACCUCGCCUUGGCGUAAUUUCUGUCACGUCCACUUCUCUCCACCCUUGCCCACUUACCCACAGGCGGAAAGCGUGGGCCAUCUGCAUCGGAAAGAGUCUGCUUUUAGAACGCCUGGAUGCUAUUUUCUCACUCACAUUUCAAUGACAGGCAGACUUACGCAAUGCCGCUCUCGCGCUCUCUCUCCACAGAGAAGUAUGGCUUGUUUACACAAUAGUGGACUCGGCCAAAGGCAGUGUGUGGAGACUGUGGACUUACAGGAAGCAAGAUAGUCAAAUAUAGAUAUUGAAUACGCUCCUCAACAUCAGGCUUGAAAAGUAUUACAUUUCAUAUCAAGAUGAAGUAUUUUCCCAUGGCUGUAGGCAGCAGCGGAGUGCGGCAGCCCACUCAGCCCUCUCAGGGAGCAGAAGGCCGUCCACUCCCACUCGGUCUCUGCGUCAUGGAACAGAGAGCCCUCAGAGAUGACACCGAACAGAUGGAGGAAGAAGAACACACCGUCUCUCCAUUGAUUUAACCACAGAUAUGUCCUAAAUGGCACCCAAUUCCCUAUUUAGUGCACUACCUUUGACCAGAGCUCUACUGGGCCCCCUACUGGGCCCCCAUAUAGUGCACUAGUUUUGACCAGAGCCUUUUGUGCCCUGGUCAAAAGUAUUUCACUAUAUGGCUCAUUCUACAGAAGUGGUGCAAAUUGGGGGUUGGAAAACAAAUCAAAUUUGUAGAGUACAGUACAGUACAGUACAGUAGAGCACAAUACAGUAGAGCACAGUACAGUAGAGUACAGUACAGUAGAGCAUAGUAGAGUACAGUACAGUAGAGCACGGUACAGUAGAGUACAGUAUAGUAGAGUACAGUACAGUAGAGCACAGUACAGUAGAGUACAGUACAGUACAGUAUAGCACAGUAAUGUAAAGUAUUGUACAGCACAGUAGAGCACAGUACAGUAGAGUACAGUACAGGACAGUAAAGUAUUGUACAGCACAGUAGAGCACGGUACAGUAGAGUACAGUAUAGUAGAGUACAGUACAGUAGAGCACAGUACAGUAGAGUACAGUACAGUAGAGCACAAUACAGUACAGUACAGUAGAGUACAGUACAGUAGAGCACAGUACAGUAGAGUACAGUACAGUACAGUAGCGCACAGUAUAGUAGAGUACAGUACAGUAGAGUACAGUACUGUAGAGCACAGUACAGUAGAGUACAGUACAUUACAGUAGAGCACAGUAGAGUACAGUCCAGUAGAGCACAGUACAGUAGAAUACAGUAUAGCACAGUACAGUAGAGUACAGAACAGUAGAGCACAGCAUAGUAGAGUACAGUACGGUAGAGUACAGUACAGUAGAGCACUGUACAGUAGAGCACAGUAUAGUACAGUACAGUAAAGCACAGUACAGUAAAGUAUUGUACAGUAGAGUACAGUAUAGCACAGUACAGUACAGUACAGUAGAGCACAGUACAGUAGAGUACAGUAUAGCACAGUACAAUAGAGCACUGUACAGUAGAGUACAGUACAGUACAAUAGAGCACUGUACAGUAGAGUACAGUGGAGCACAUUAUCGAGGUCUAUGUUUUGGCCAAAUAGAUGUCAAUGUUUGGGUUCUUGGAGCCCCCUCUUGGAGCUGGC
rnacentral:lncRNA from 1 species